rnacentral:tRNA from 1 species
GCGGGCGUGGCGGAAUUGGCAGACGCGCUGGAUUUAGGUUCCAGUACCCUUAGUGGUGUGGAGGUUCGACUCCUCUCGCCCGCA